rnacentral:rRNA from 1 species
CAGUAGCCACGGUAAUACGAAGGGUGCAAACGUUAAUCGGAAUUACUGGGCGUAAAGCGUGCGUAGGCGGUUUGUUAAGUCUGUUGUGAAAUCCCCGGGCUCAACCUGGGAAUGGCAAUGGAUACUGGCAAGCUAGAGUGUGUCAGAGGAUGGUGGAAUUCCCGGUGUAGCGGUGAAAUGCGUAGAGAUCGGGAGGAACAUCAGUGGCGAAGGCGGCCAUCUGGGACAACACUGACGCUGAGGCACGAAAGCGUGGGGAGCAAACAGGAUUAGAUACCCCUGUAGUCCCUGUCUCUUAUAC